UGCUGCGAUAGCGGCGUGUAAACGCGCCGUCGGUAGUUCCCUGCCAAACUGAAAAUAGUCGGCGAACUAAUAUCGCGACGUCGGAAAUAUUUUAUACGUACGUUGCGCGCACUCAUAUUCGAGCAACUUUCCUUACGAGUUAUAACACGCGCGCACGCCUUAUAUCCGCCUUCAAAAAUAAUUUCGCUAACCGUGAUUCCUUACGAGCGUGCAAUAACGUGAGAGGAAAAAAGGUCGUCUGCGAUGCACCGCGCCGCGGUCUGAAUUUAGUGUCGCGCGGAUACUUUCUGUUAUUUUUCCGCUGAAAUCCCGGCUACGCCGAUGGACGAUCUUCGCGAUGUGGAUUCGGAAAUCUCGUCGGACGUCUCGAGGCAGGUAGACGACAAGUAUCCCAAAAAAGGAUCGUAGACACCGAUCGAGGCGAUACGUAGUGGACGAGUGGAUAAUAAAAAAAAGGAGAUGGAAGAGACGCUCGAUGAAAAAUACGUGCCCUCUCGUGUACAUGUAAAAACUUGUAUUUGCGAUGAGGAUUUUAAUUUUUAAAUACAUAUUUGCCACGAAACGCGAAAUGUUUCAUUAUGGCGUGUGUAAAUAAAUGAGAUUCGGAUUUAAAUCGUAUAAGCGCCCUUCGAUUUUUAAUUUAUACUUUCUAUGUACAAAUUAUAUACAAUAAAAUGUGAAUUCAUAUUCGCG